CUGCCCAACAAAAUGGAAGAACUGCUGCUCCUCAACAAAAUAAACAGGGAUAUAUCAGGAUCUUCCGCCCUGUGUUUCACUGAAACAUGGCUUGGUGAGUACAUCCCUGACAGCAUCCUCCAUCUGCCGGGCUUCCAACUCCACCGCGCGGACCGCGUUAAGGAAUUAACGGGGAAAACAAGGGGAGGAGGAAUCUGCUUUUAUAUCAAUGAAAGUUGGUGUACUGAUGCCACAGUGCUAUGGAAAAUAUGCACUCCUCACCUAGAAUCCAUAUUCAUUAACUGCAAGCCAUUUUAUUCACCACGGGAGUUUUCCUCUUUCAUUCUGGUCGGUGUCUACAUACCACCUCAAGCCUGCGUUAGCGAGGCACUACGGCACCUGGCUGACCAGAUAACCAGCACGGAGCGAAAAUACCCAGACUCUCUUCUGAUUAUACUUGGGGAUUUCAACCAAGCAAAACUCAGCCGCGAACUUCCGAAAUACAGGCAGCACAUUAAGUGUCCCACCAGGGACAAAAACACACUCGACCAUUGCUACACAACACUGAAGAAUGCAUACCGCUCUGUUUCGCGUGCAGCUUUGGGACUCUCCGAUCACUGCCUGGUUCAUCUCCUCCCAAGCUACAGGCAGAAACUUAAAUCUGCAAAGCCUGUGGUGAAAACUGUGAGGAAAUGGACCAACGAGUCAAAGCUGGAGCUACAGGCCUGCUUUGACUGCACUGACUGGAGUGUUUUUGAGGCUGCAUCUACAUCACUAGACGAACUCACUGACACUGUGACGUCAUACAUUAGUUUCUGUGAAGACAUGUGUGUACCCACCAAAACGUACCGCAUCUUUAAUAACAAUAAACCGUGGUUCACAGCAAAGCUCAAGCAGCUUCGUCAAGCCAAAGAGGAGGCCUUCAUGAGUGGGGACAGGAUCCUGUACAACCAGGCCAGAAACACAUUGACUAAGGAGAUCAGAGUAGCAAAGAGAAGCUACUCUGAAAAGCUGAAAAACAGGUUUUCAGCUAACGACCCUGCGUCAGUGUGGAGAGGCCUGCAGGACAUCACCAACUACAGGAAAUCCUCCCCCAACCCCAUGGAGAACCCUCAACUGGCUGACGACCUGAAUGUGUUUUACUGCAGGUUUGAUCACCCCACAUUCACACCCCUCACCCGCUCCAACUCAGACUUCACACAAUCAUCUGCACCCCCUGUUAUCACCUCCCCUGACUCCCCACCGGCAUUGACGGUCUGUGAAGAGGAUGUGUGUCAGCUCUUUCAGAGACAGAAGACAAGGAAGGCAGCAGGCCCAGACGGUGUGUCACCCUCCUGCCUGAAAGCCUGCGCUGAUCAGCUGGCUCCCAUCUUCACACGGAUCUUCAACAGAUCUCUGGAGCUGUGUGAAGUCCCCUCCUGCUUCAAACGCUCCACCAUCAUCCCGGUUCC
rnacentral:lncRNA from 1 species